GCAUGACCGGUGGGUGACCCUGGAGUGAACCAUGGAGAUGGAGGUGGCACUGCUAAGCCAUGGUUUUCCAAAGGUAUGGCACUGUGCCUUCUGCCUUGCCCUAGUCUUCGUAAUCCUGCCACCUCUGCUUCAGAUAUACACCCUACCUUCUCUGUUGAAGCCCAUCCCACCUGGCAGUGAGCAGCACCUUCCCAGCCAGAGCAGAUUUUUCAGAACGUAAAAGAAGAUAAUCAUUACCAGCAGUGGAGACCAUUGUAAAUUGUUCUUAAUCAGAACAAAGUUAGUGCUUUGGAAAAUCAGCCUCACUCUGCAGUACUCACACCACCUAAUUUUUCAGGUCUCUCCUGGAUAAAGAAGGACCAGCUCAAAUUUCCUCUCUGACAAGUUGGGAUACUAUGUGUUUCUCAAAGGACCAAGAAGAUAAAAUUAGGGAGGUUUAUGAGCAAAUUCUCAACGUCAAACUAGCAGAGAAAUAUGAAUCGUUUGUGAAACUUACAUGUGAUCAGAUCAUACAGUCAAGUGGCAGAGGGCCAACCAGCAAUGU
rnacentral:lncRNA from 1 species